UACGGAGGAGGCAAGCGUUAUCCGGAAUUAUUGGGCGUAAAGCGUCCGUAGGUGGCUCUUCAAGUCUGCUGUCAAAGAGUGGGGCUUAACCUUGCCAAGGCAGUGGAAACUGAAAGGCUAGAGAGCCGUUAGGGGUAGAGGGAAUUCCCGGUGUAGCGGUGAAAUGCGUAGAGAUCGGGAAGAACAUCGGUGGCGAAAGCGCUACUACUGGACGGUAUCUGACACUGAGGGACGAAAGCUAGGGGAGCGAAUGGG
rnacentral:rRNA from 1 species